rnacentral:rRNA from 1 species
AUGACUAUGAACCGCGCACGCGUUUACGCGCGUCUGGCCCGACGCAAGGUAACGUCGUUGUCGAUGUCCUGCCUAUGUGCGGACGUCGGUGCGGCGCCCCUGUUGUCGCUGCCGUGCAGUCUCAGACUGUGCGCGUCUCAGUCUGCGAUGAUUCAGUUUCGGGCACUCGCAGGACCCGUCUUGAAACACGGACCAAGGAGUCUAGCAUGUGUGCGAGUCAUUGAGAUUAAUAAACUGAAAGGCGUAACGAAAGUGAAGGCUUGCGCUUGUCGCGAGCUCAGGGAGGAUGGAGCGUCGGUCUAG